CAAAGAUGGUAGCAACAUGUUGGCAAAAAGCUUUUGUGGCGUACAUUGUACACCAAUAAGAAGCUAUGGACUUACCGCUUCUGCGUGGUGAUACGAGAAGACAAAUUUCAUGGAACCUUUUCAGCGCCUAAAUAGAAGAAGAUUGAAGAUAAAGAUGGCAUUUCCUCCAUCUAUAAUAAAAAGCCCACCAGGUUACUUAACCGCCGCCUGGCACUCGGCGUUACCUCAUGCAAGUUUGUCUGUACACUCAACUAUCUUGUACACUGACCAUGAUGGAACCAACAAAUUUCCAUACCGUUUGCAAGAAAGAAGAGAGAGGUGGCUCUGGUAUCCAUGGUCACCUGAACUGUCAGAACUUUGAUAAAGGGAAACUGCACAGUCUGGACAAUCUAAUGAUUCCAAAAUUUUCUUAACAAUGUAGCCUGAAAUGUAGUGGAGGACAUCAGAUCUCCAAACAUUGUUUGUAAGUAGCAUAUUUGAGAUGUUCGAGUCAAUCUUAUUAUCUGGAAUGUUUUUAGAAUUUUCAAAAUCAAUACAGUUUGCUGUUGAUGGAGAUUCAAUCUUAUUUUUUAGAAGUAACUGUCUCAAAGCAUAUUUGAACUGGAGUGCAGUUGGAUUAUUGUUCCAACCUAGUCUACUUCGAAUUUUUGAAAAGUACAUCUCCAGUUGGUCUUGAGAGAAGCGAUAAGUCAGAACAUACUCAAAUGGUGCUUCUGAUCGUUCUAACAAGCCUCUGCUGAUUUUCAAGAUUGAAAUUGACGAGACAGCAAAACCGAGAAUAAAAGCCUUCCUUGGACCAUUUACAAUAGGCCAGCCUG